UACGGAGGGUGCAAGCGUUAAUCGGAAUUACUGGGCGUAAAGCGUGCGCAGGCGGUCUGUUAAGACCGAUGUGAAAUCCCCGGGCUUAACCUGGGAACUGCAUUGGUGACUGGCAGGCUUUGAGUGUGGCAGAGGGAGGUAGAAUUCCACGUGUAGCAGUGAAAUGCGUAGAGAUGUGGAGGAAUACCGAUGGCGAAGGCAGCCUCCUGGGCCAACACUGACGCUCAUGCACGAAAGCGUGGGGAGCAAACAGG
rnacentral:rRNA from 1 species